GAUGAACGCUGGCGGCGUGCCUAAUACAUGCAAGUCGAGCGAACAGAUAAGGAGCUUGCUCCUUUGACGUUAGCGGCGGACGGGUGAGCAACACGUGGGUAACCUACCUAUAAGACUGGAAUAACUCCGGGAAACCGGGGCUAAUGCCGGAUAACAUUUAGAACCGCAUGGUUCUAUAGUGAAAGACGGUUUUGCUAUCACUUAUAGAUGGACCCGCGCCGUAUUAGCUAGUUGGUAAGGUAACGGCUUACCAAGGCAACGAUACGUAGCCGACCUGCGAGGGUGAUCGGCCACACGGGAACUGGGACACGGUCCAGACUCCUACGGGAGGCAGCAGUAGGGAAUCGUACGCAAUGGGCGAAAGCCUGACGGAGCAACGCCGCGUGAGUGAUGAAGGUCUUCGGAUCGUAAAGCUCUGUUAUUAGGGAAGAACAAAUGUGGAAGUAACUGUGCACGUCUUGACGGUACCUAAUCAGAAAGCCACGGCUAACUACGUG
rnacentral:rRNA from 1 species